CCCUUAGAUGUUCUGGGCUGCACGCGCGCUACACUGAAGCUAUCAACACGUUUUCCCUCCCUGAGAAGGGCGGGUAACCUUUUGAAUCAGCUUCGUGGUAGGGAUCGGGGCUUGCAAUUGUUCCCCGUGAACCAGGAAUUCCUAGUGGACGCGAGUCAUAAGCUCGCAUCGAUUAAGUCCCUGCCCUUUGUACACACCGCCCGUCGCUACUACCGAUUGAACGUUUUAGUGAGGCAUUUGGACCGACGCAUCUCAGUUUAACCGCUGGUUUGUGUUGGAAAGACUUCCAAACUUGAGCGUUUAGAGGAAGUAAAAGUCGUAACA
rnacentral:rRNA from 1 species